rnacentral:rRNA from 1 species
CCUACGGGAGGCAGCAGUGGGGAAUAUUGGACAAUGGGCGAAAGCCUGAUCCAGCAAUGCCGCGUGAGUGAUGAAGGCCUUAGGGUUGUAAAGCUCUUUUACCAGGGAUGAUAAUGACAGUACCUGGAGAAUAAGCUCCGGCUAACUCCGUGCCAGCAGCCGCGGUAAUACGGAGGGAGCUAGCGUUGUUCGGAAUUACUGGGCGUAAAGCGUACGUAGGCGGUUAUUCAAGUCAGAGGUGAAAGCCUGGAGCUCAACUCCAGAACUGCCUUUGAAACUAGGUAGCUAGAAUCACGGAGAGGUUAGUGGAAUUCCGAGUGUAGAGGUGAAAUUCGUAGAUAUUCGGAAGAACACCAGUGGCGAAGGCGACUAACUGGACGUGUAUUGACGCUGAGGUACGAAAGCGUGGGGAGCAAACAGGAUUAGAUACCCUGGUAGUCCACGCCGUAAACGAUGAUAACUAGCUGUUCGGUCUCUACGAGACUGAGUGGCGCAGCUACGCAUAAGUUAUCCGUCCGUCGGGAGGUACGGUCGCGAAGAAGUUAAACUAACGAAAGGUAAAGUUAGUACGGUUCGUUGUAGAGUUGCCGACGGCGACGACGAGGGAGGAGG